GAGCGUGCGGGCGAUACGGGCAGACUUGAGUACUGCAGGGGAGACUGGAAUUCCUGGUGUAGCGGUGGAAUGCGCAGAUAUCAGGAGGAACACCGGUGGCGAAGGCGGGUCUCUGGGCAGUAACUGACGCUGAGGAGCGAAAGCGUGGGGAGCGAACAGGAUUAGAUACCCUGGUAGUCCACGCCGUAACCGGUGGGUACUAGGUGUGGGUUUCCUUCCUUGGGAUCCGUGCCGUAGCUAACGCAUUAAGUACCCCGCCUGGGGAGUACGGCCGCAAGGCUAAAACUCAAAGAAAUUGACGGGGGCCCGCACAAGCGGCGGAGCAUGUGGAUUAAUUCGAUGCAACGCGAAGAACCUUACCUGGGUUUGACAUGCACAGGACGCCGGCAGAGAUGUCGGUUCCCUUGUGGCCUGUGUGCAGGUGGUGCAUGGCUGUCGUCAGCUCGUGUCGUGAGAUGUUGGGUUAAGUCCCGCAACGAGCGCAACCCUUGUCUCAUGUUGCCAGCGGGUAAUGCCGGGGACUCGUGAGAGACUGCCGGGGUCAACUCGGAGGAAGGUGGGGAUGACGUCAAGUCAUCAUGCCCCUUAUGUCCAGGGCUUCACACAUGCUACAAUGGCCGGUACAAAGGGCUGCGAUGCCGCGAGGUUAAGCGAAUCCUUUUAAAGCCGGUCUCAGUUCGGAUCGGGGUCUGCA
rnacentral:rRNA from 1 species